CCGGCCACGGCAGCCACCCACCCUCCAGCUGAUGGCCACUCUGGUCACGGCGGCCACAUCCUCUCAGCGUUGAACACCACUCCGGUGCCGGCGCCCACCAAACACCAUGUACCAUGUCUCUUGCAGAUCUCCGUUUCGACAAGGGGCACGAGUUCGAGGAGCACAUUUGGAAGCGACUUCAUCUUCCUAUCAAAUUUGAAGCUGGCAAGGGUCUCCAUGAGUUCUUCCUCGUGGCAGAAUUUACCAGAUCCAGAGUCAAGGUUACAGAAGAUUUGGUGGGUGCAAAUUCUCCUAUCCUGCUUUGGUGGAAGAGCAUCAUUGUUCAAGGCCACCGAAGAUGUGCUGUUCCAGUUUUUUAAAUGGAAGUAUACAAGGACAGAAGCAGAAUUUCAGUAACAGUAUCAAGACCUGAUUAUCCUCUAACAACAACAUGCCAAGAGUACGUUUCCUACCACACGUGGGAUCUACAUGUCUUGCUGAAGGCUCCUGCAAAUGAAGUGUCAGAAAUCCAAAAUGCAUUCUUUGCAAAGGAAAGGAGGGAGAAAACGAGAGAAGAUAGGAGUAUGUUUCUUCUAUUCUAAUAUGACACUUGGUGAUGAAAUGGAGGUGGGAGGGUAAAAACAAGAUGAAAUGAGUAGAUACAAUGAAGCCACUGAAGAAGACAGGAAACCUCAAUGGAGAGAUGAAGAGGGGGCAAUCCAGGAAAGGAAGCUCACAGAUAAGUUCCAUAUCAUCCCCAAACGGAAAACACAUGAAAAGGAAGUAAAUAGGAGCUCAGGCCUGAUGGUACGAUUGAAGAGAACAAUGCUAGGCUUCUGGCCAAGGGUUAUACCCAGAAAGAGGUGAAGAUUUCUUCAAUACUUACUCGCCUAUGGCCAGACUGACCACCAUUCGAGUGUUACUCUCAUUGGGGGCCUCGCAUGGUCUUCUCGUCCAUCAGAUGGACGUCAGGAAGGAAGGAAAUGAGCUCCUAAGCAAUGGCAUGAGAAGUUUGAGAAAGCUUAACAUCUGUCGGUUUUGUUCUUAAUGAAGCUGACAAAUGUGUAUACUGUCGCCAUGGGGAGGAGUUAUGUUGUGCCUGUAUGUUGUACUGAUAUUUGGAACCAACCUCAAAGUCAUUGAGGAGGUUAAGGCUUUUCUAUCUCAUAACUUUGAGAUGAAAGAUCUUGGUGUGCUGAUGUUAUCUUGAACAUCAAGUUAUUGAGAGAUAUUGAGGGUGGGAUUACACUUCUGUAAUUCCACUAUGUUGAGAA